GAUCAGUCAAAGGCAGUGGAACUAGUUUUCCGAAGCUCGUUUUGAACAAUCAGGACAUGUCUUAACGGUGUAGCCCUCCUUUUUGCACUUAAAACAACGCGUGGUCCUUGGUGCCGUGCAACCAAUAGCUUGGUGUCCUGGUUUAUUACAUCUGUAGCAAACGAUAUCUUUCGGAGGUCUUGCGUUCUUCACUUCACCACGAACUACACUUAAUGUAGUCGACUGAUCCUGACAACUAUCCACACUAACGCUGCUAGACGAGUCGACCGCUACAUAAGCUAAAUCUGGUUCUAAAACAUUGCCAAUUCGUCUGCUAGGUGGAACAUAGCUUUCAACUGCUUCCUUCCUGGCUUCUAAUUUUUUUCCAUAUUCACGAAGCUUUGCAAUAGAAUCAACUUCUAAUAACGCCAACUGUGUCUGGUAAUAUGGUGCAAUAUUUUUCAUUAAUAUCUUCAAUUUGGUCGGUUCAUCAAUAGGGCAAGUCAAUCUCCUAAAAUAUCCAGCCAUCACUGCUAGAUAAACUCCAAUCGAUUCAUCAGGUCCUUGAGUGCGUCUACGAAUUUCAUCAAACAAUUUUUCGUUGUAAUCAUGAGAUAAAUAUUCUUCUUUUAAGAGCUCCACAAAUUCAUCUCAAUUAGCGACCUGGUUUCUAUAAGCCAAAUAGAAUU
rnacentral:lncRNA from 1 species